AUUUAGUAGGAAAAUCACUGUUUCGUCAUGCUACAUCUUCAGAAGUGUUACGUAUUAUCCAGUGGUAUUUAUUUUGGUAAAAUAUUUGCUCUUUCAGGAGAAGCAACGUAAAUGGUUCUUCUGCAAAAGUUUUCAGUGAGAGCCCUUAUGUGCGCAUAGAAUCCUUGCAGGAGAUCUCGUACGCUGACUCCUCAGCAAACUUCAGGAAUCUAAUUGUGCCUCGAUUUCAUGAAAAUCCUAAGUGGAAUCUUUAUGAAUCUUCAUGAACAUCCUGAAGAACUGCAAUUACUACUAGGUAAGUAACCAUUUGUUUAUAUAUCCAUGCUUUUAUUUAAUCAUGCUGGUCUAAUUUACUUCGUAUAAACUAUUUCUAGCAGUUUUGAUCUUUUUGUGUGUGUAAGCAAAACCCUUUGGACUUGUUUGCCUGUCGCUGACUUAGCGUAGCACAUCUAUUAUUCUCCGAGUGAUUUGUAGACCUUGUACUUCAUAAUGACAUAAACGUCAAGUAUGGUAUACCAGCAAUUUAGUCAUUAGGGGUCUGACACUUAAUUUUACCCUUUCUGAUAUCUCCACAUGACAUUUAAAAAAAAAAAAUAUGUAUUCUGAUUUCACUGUUCAGGAUUUAGGUUAGGAAGGGAUUUAACAGAUACAUAAUAGGGUUUUUGUGACAGGAGUAUUUCCAGCUGACAGUAGACUGUGGAUGAAAUGAUCAGUUGCUUUAUAGUAUAAAAUCAUUGUAAGACAAGAUAAUCGCUGCUUAAUUCAUGUGAAAUGACAACCUUAGACACUAAAUACAAAACCCUAAG
rnacentral:lncRNA from 1 species